GGCGGACGGGUGAGUAACGCGUAAGAACUUGCCCUUUAGACUGGGAUAACAGAGGGAAACUUCUGAUAAUACUGGAUAAGUUAGUAUAUCGCAUGAUAUGCAAAUGAAAGCUACGGCACUAAAGGAGAGCUUUGCGUCCUAUUAGCUAGUUGGUAAGGUAAGAGCUUACCAAGGCGAUGAUAGGUAGCCGGCCUGAGAGGGUGGACGGCCACAAGGGGACUGAGAUACGGCCCUUACUCCUACGGGAGGCAGCAGCC
rnacentral:rRNA from 1 species